rnacentral:tRNA from 1 species
GGGCCCGUAGCUCAGUCGGUAGAGCGGCGGGCUGUUAACCCGUAGGUCGCCGGUUCGAGUCCGGCCGGGCCCG